rnacentral:rRNA from 1 species
CAAUAGCGUAUAUUUAAGUUGUUGCAGUUAAAAAGCUCGUAGUUGGAUUUCGGGUGGGACGCAGCGGUCUCGCAUUGCGUUUGUACUGCUGCAGCCCUCCUUCUUGCCGGGGGCGGCCUCUCGGACUUCACUGUCUGGGGGUCAGAAUCGGCGAUGUUACUUUGAGUAAAUUAGAGUGUUCAAAGCAAGCUUACGCUCUGAAUAUAAUAGCAUGGGAUAACACGACAGGACUCUGGCCUAUCGUGUUGGUCUAUAGGACCAGAGUAAUGAUUAAGAGGGACAGUCGGGGGCAUUCGUAUUCCGUUGUCAGAGGUGAAAUUCUUUGAUUUACGGAAGACGAACAUCUGCGAAAGCAUUUGCCAAGGAUGUUUUCAUUGA